UUACUACUCCCUCCGUUCGGAAUUACUUGUCUCGGAAAUGGAUGUAUCUAGAACUAAAAUACGUCUAAAUACAUCCAUUUCCGCGACAAGUAAUUUCGAACGAAGGGAGUACUAU
rnacentral:pre_miRNA from 1 species